ensembl:misc_RNA Y_RNA Y RNA
GGCUGGUCAGAAGGUAGUGAGUGAUCUCACUUGAUUGUUCAGAGUUGGUUACAGAUUAAACUCCUUGUUCUCCUCUUUCCCCCCUUCUCACUACUGCACUUGACUACUCUUAA